CAAGGUUUCCGUAGGGGAACCUGCGGAAGGAUCAUUAACGU
rnacentral:rRNA from 1 species